rnacentral:RNase_P_RNA from 1 species
GAAGUCGGCCGGACAGUCGCGGGGCAGCGAUGCCGCGAGGAAAGUCCGGGCUCCGCAGGGCAGGGUGCCAGGUAACGCCUGGGCGGCGCAAGCCGACGGAAAGUGCAACAGAGAGCAGACAGCCGAUGGCCCCGCAAGGGGAUCAGGUGAUGGUGAAACGGUGCGGUAAGAGCGCACCGCGUGCGGGGACAACGCCGCACGGCACGGCAAACCCCACCCGGAGCAAGACCGAAUAGGGAAGCAAUGACGUUGCCCGCGUCGCUUCCGGGUUGGUCGCUUGAGCGCACCGGCGACGGUGCGCCUAGAGGAAUGACUGUCGCGCGCGCUUUGCUUCUGGCGAAGCGGGCGAACAGGACCCGGCUUACAGGCCGGCUUCGCAC